rnacentral:rRNA from 1 species
GAUGAACGCUGGCGGCGUGCCUAAUACAUGCAAGUCGAGCGAACAGACGAGGAGCUUGCUCCUCUGACGUUAGCGGCGGACGGGUGAGUAACACGUGGAUAACCUACCUAUAAGACUGGGAUAACUUCGGGAAACCGGAGCUAAUACCGGAUAAUAUAUUGAACCGCAUGGUUUAAUAGUGAAAGACGGUUUUGCUGUCACUUAUAGAUGGAUCCGCGCCGCUUUAGCUAGUUGGUAAGGUAACGGCUUCCCAAGGCAACGAUGCGUAGCCGACCUGAGAGGGUGAUCGGCCACACUGGAACUGAGACACGGUCCAGACUCCUACGGGAGGCAGCAGUAGGGAAUCUUCCGCAAUGGGCGAAAGCCUGACGGAGCAACGCCGCGUGAGUGAUGAAGGGCUUCGGAUCGUAAAACUCUGUUAUUAGGGAAGAACAAAUGUGUAAGUAACUAUGCACGUCUUGACGGUACCUAAUCAGAAAGCCACGGCUAACUACGUG